rnacentral:rRNA from 1 species
AAAGUUCGAUCCUGGCUCAGGAUGAACGAUGGCGGCAUGCUUAACACAUGCAAGUCGGACGGGAAGUGGUGUUUCCAGUGGCGGACGGGUGAGUAAGGCGUAAGAACCUGCCCUUGGGAAGGGAACAACAACUGGAAACAGUUGCUAAUACCUCAUAGGCUGAGGAGCAAAAGGAGAAAUCCGCCCAAGGAGGGGCUCACGUCUGAUUAGCUAGUUGGUGAGGCAUUAGCUUACUAAGGCGAUGAUCAGUAGCUGGUCCGAGAGGAUGAUCAGCCACACUGGGACUGUGACACGGCCCAGACUCCUAUGGGAGGCAGCAGUGGAGAGUUUUCCACAAUCGGCAAAAGCCUGACGGAGUAAUGCCGCAUGGAGAUAGAAGGCCCACGGGUCAUGAACUUCUUUUCUCAGAGAAGAAGCAAUGACAGUAUCUGAGGAAUAAGCAUCAGCUAAAUCGGUGCCAGCAGCCGCUGUAAGACAGAGGAUGCAAGCAUUAUCCGGAAUGAUUGGGCAUAAAUCGUCUGUAGGUGGCUUUUCAAGUCCUCCAUCAAAUCCCAGGGCUGAACCCUGGACAAGCGGUGGAAACUAUCAAGCUAGAGUACAGUAGGAGCAGAGGGAAUUUCCAGUGAAGCGGUGAAAUGCGUAGAGAUUGGAAAGAACACCAACAGUGAAAGCACUCUGUUGGGCCGACACUGACACUGAGAGAUAAAAGCUAGGGGAGCAAAUGGGAUUAGAUACCCCAGCAGUCCUAGCCAUAAACGAUGGAUACUAGGCACUGUAUGUAUCGACCCGUACAGUGCUGUGGCUAACGUGUUAAGUAUCACGCCUGGGGAGUACGUUCGCAAGAAUGAAACUUAAAAGAACUGACUGACACUCUUGCUACUUUAAAGCUACCUUAAAAAAUUAAGAAUUUUUUUCUGGUAGUUGAUCCAUAAUCUAAAAAGUUUUUUUUUGUUCCAGAAGAAAUUAAAAAAAAAAGAUAUGGUAGAACUAGGAUAGUUAUUGUAUGAGGUCUACCCAAUGCUAGAUGCAGAGGUGCAUAAUAGAUCGAUAUGAACAUCAUGAGCUGUCCGGUAAUAAAACCAGUUGUUGCUGAUACCUCCUUCUCGGUUCCUUCUUCCAUAACCCGAGCUUAGAGAAGGAAGAGAUAAGAGGGCCCUAUGGAGAAUGUGGUUAGAAAUCCAUAAUAGAGUACGACCACAAUGACCGAAUUUCUUAACUUUAUGCAUAAGGAUAUUAGAUUACCU